GGUGUAGAACCCUCAAUUUUGCAGCUGGCGUGUUGUGCAAACUGUGUUUUUAUUAUAUCUUAUAACUGGUAACGUUUUGCCGACAUACUUGUCUUUACUUGAGGGACACAGGGACUUAACCUGUUCUUGGCGUAAUUCAUUCGGAUUCCCAAAAGUAGCCGACCCGACUCACCAGGUCACCAAUCCCCACAAAAGAAGAGUCCGGAACAGUUCAAGAGAGGGGUCCCAAAGAGAGCGACAAUCCCCUCCCAUGAAAUGAGAGGAAAUCUUUUAUAUUUUGCAUAUGUUUAUUGCCCAGAACACGGCUCCGUGGGCGAACAGACGCUGAUAUGAUGUCUGCGGAACCUUCACCAAAGCACGAAUCAACACAGUCGAUCCCUUAUCCAAGCUUUUCGUGUGACCCAAGUAUUGACCCUUAUUUAAACGUUAGAGCGUUUGUCGCGCGGAAUGCCUCUUUGAUGUAUCUUCCUACUAAUGAUAACAGGUGUACUGUCAUUAGGAAAUUACCGCAAACUGUAAUUUUACUCCUAUAGCUAAGCUAGCUCCAACUGAAUUAGUAAUCAGAGGAGUAAGUACGGAAAAGAUAGCAAUUAAAUGUUCCUAACUUGUGACAAACGGUUAGUGUACCUCCCAGGUGUACGUGAUAUAUUGCAUUGUCAUAGUGAAAACGUCACAUGGCUGACCUAAGGUCACACCCGGGCUGGAUAAUUGGCGCCUCGCUCCAGGCGUCCUUCAAAGUGAUCUGUUGAUGUGGAAGGUUCCUUUCUGAUGGCGAUUGUAUCUCGGAUUAGUACAUGUGGAUGUUUUGUUAUACAACAUUAUGUGAAGUUUUCUAGAGAUCUGUGAUUGGAGAAUAGUUUAAGUUACAGACACGAUCGUUACAGCCAGAGAAAACUUUAUCUUAGGAUAUAUAUGACUCACAAUUGGUUAUAUGACAUGUUUUGCUAAGAGUCAACAUGCGUUUAGAACUCAAUAAAACCCUGGUUAAAAGUAUCAUCUUCACGUAAGCUGACUAGUCUAAAAGAAGGUAUACAGCGUCUGUCAUUUGAGUUAUAUAUAUAUAUAUAUAUAUAUAUAUAUAUAUAUAUAUAUAUAUAUAUAUGAUAUAAUAUAUAGUUAUUGGGUGCUGAUUCUGAAAACUCAGGAUAUAGAUUCUAAUUUACUUCACGCGGUAUGUUGCCACCCUUAUAUAGGAGAGAAUCUGUCAAUGUUAACUCUUAGUUAAGUCUUCGGAAAAUUCAUAUGACUAGGACAUAUAUCUUAAUAUGUUUAUUUUCCUUCGAGAUGCACAAGAAGCCUUCGAGAUGCACAUGAUGACACCUAGAACUCUAUACAACUCUUGUUAGAAGCAUCCUUAUCACGUAAGCUGAUUAGAUUAGAAGGGAUUCAGUGUCCGGCAUUUGAUUGCAACGAUGAUAAAAGUACCAUAUAAUAUAAAAAGGGGAAAACUAGACUGUGCUACAUAAUUAUCAAACCUAGCCUCUAAAUUAUGAAAAAAUAGUAAAGAAAAAAUUUGUAACUUUUGCUACAGUCCACAGAAAAUAAUCUUGCAUGUGGUAUACUUGUUUUGUUCUUAUGUCCUAAAAGCUUUAACUCGGUACAUCUACAACAGCUUUUCUACUCUAUCUUGCAUGUGGUAAUUUUCUUUCUUUGAAGAUUCUGUUAGAUUUUAUUAGGUACUUCUAGUAGUCUUCUACCACGCUUUUUCAUUCAUUGCAUGUGGUACAAUUGUUUUUUGUAUAUUCUGUAGGAUUUUGUUAGGUACUUCUAUGACGCUUCUCUUUUAUUUAUCAACAUGUACAUUAAAAUUAACAUUCUAUUAGAUUUUAGUUGAUUCUUCUUUAGUAGAUUCCACAUCACUUGUCUGUUAGAUGGAAUUGUUGCUCGACAUAUUUUAUAUUUUGCCUUUGGUACAUUUGUUUUGUUCUGUAUAUUCUUUUCUAGUUAGUUUCUAACGUGCUUCCCUUCUAUAUCUCGCGUGCAGUACAGUUUUUUUUUUUCAUAAUCUGUCAGAUUAAAUGCGGUGAUUCUUCCACACUUUUGUUUGAUAUCUUGUAUGUGGCAAAUAUGUUUUGCUUUGUAUAUUCCGUUAGAUUCAAGAUGGCACUUACGAGGGGUGAUCAAUAUGUUCUCGGCCUAACCCAGAAAUAAUAAGCACAACUCAAAUUUUGAGGCACAACUUUAUAGUAUGAAGCCUUUUAUCAAU